rnacentral:rRNA from 1 species
UGAGAUGGCCUCUCGCCCUAUUCAGUGUAACAGCUGUGAUAGUGGGUUUGGUCGCUCGCAUUUAAAUUGGAAGGGUAAUGGUGGACCGCACUUCUCCCUUAGUAGGACGUUGCGACCUGUCAAAUAAUAUCCUAAGUAUUUGGCUAAUUUGUCUGUUUUUAGGCAGUACUGAAAGGUAUUUCCUUUAACAGUUUUAGCCGUUUAUAUACUGGAUAUAAUUGACAGUAACGAAUCAUGGUGUUGAGCCACUUACUUUGUAAGUGUCCUUUAUGGCUGUUUGCAAGUGGGUUGGUUAAUUAGUUUUAGUCGGAUUUUGGUCCGUCUAACUAUUCCGCCUACUGUUGGUAAACUGUUCCUUGGACAGUGCUUAUAACACCGGUCGGCAGCGAUUCAGGUUCAGGCUCUUAUCCGACCCGUCUUGAAACACGGACCAAGGAGUUUAGCGUGUACGCAAGUCAUUGGGUGUAUAAAACCCAAAGGCGCA